UAGACCAAAGAAAAUUCCAACUAUACAGGUGCUUGUACAAAACACUGAACCAUCUUCCCCAGACCCUAUGUUAGAUGUUUAAUGCUAUGUUUCUUAUUUGGUACAAAAUGUCUUGAGGAAGUAUUCCAUUUAACCUCACAUUUAAGGGGGAAAAUAAGGACUCUUUCUUAAUAAUUUUUCCCAAGAAAUAGAUAUUUAACAACUUCAUGAAUUCUUAUGACAAAACUUCGGAUGACUUGCUCUUGAAUCAAUAAAAAUAAAGUAGUCUUGAAACACUAACAACAUCCAAGACUCUUAAGAAAUUAUACAUGGUGGUAUAGACCUGUAAUCUCAACAGCCUGGAGGCUGAGGAUCAUGAAUUUGGGGGCAAGAUGGGCUGUGUAGGAAGCCAGAAGUUAACCUGAGAUACACAGUAAGGUCCUGUUUUAAAAAUAAAUAAGCUAAGUGUGGAGAUGCAUGUAAUCCCAAUACUUAGGAGUUUCAAGAUAGGAGGAUAAUGAGCUCAAGGCCCAUCUAAGGCUACAUAGCAAGACCCUGUCUUAAACAAUACGAAGCAUAAAGACAUUGUUCUAGUUUUGAAUUUGCACAACAGUGUAUCAAUUUUUGAUUGUAUUCCUGCAUUGUUAAAAAUGAAUAUAUUUCACAUAAAUUAUUGAGAGUCUCUGAGCUAUUUCCUGGGUAUUGAGACUCAUCUACAAAAAACAAUUUAGGCUUUAGGUCUAUCAUUUAGUUUUGAUGUUAUUUUGUGAGACACAAUUUCAUUAUAUAGGCUAGGGUGCCUUUAAACUUUAAUCCUCCUCCUGCCUUGGCCUUUUGAGUGCUGAAAUCAUAAGCAUGAGCCACAUGCCUGACUGAACCAAUAUUAGUAGAUUCCAGAGAUACCUUGGAGAGUCUCUAGAUUCCAUAGCAAGAAUAUUCUAAUUAAUAAUAAUAAUAAUAAUAAUAAUAAUAAUAAUAAUAAUAAUAAAUGAGGGAUGAGAGAGGGUAGCAUAGUUGGGAGUACUUGUAGAGAGGUCUAGAACUCUAGUUCUUCUGCAAGCAUACAUGAUCUCUUGCACUAAAUCAUUCAGCCAUUUUCCUGGGUAAUCUCGAGGGUACUUGUCCCUAUAUGUUAUGCUCUAGAGAAACUCCUAAACGAUAUGCAUGUUUUCCUAAAGUGGAGUUCACUGUAACAUGUUUUCCGCAGAACAGGGGUCUCAUGGGAAAGAGUUGGGUUAGUAUUCUGUGACUGUGAUAGAAUAUCUGAGGAAAUGUAUAAAGAAGGGUUUAUUCUGGUUCAUAGUUUCAGAUGAUGGGCACUUGGCUCCACAUUUGGUAGGGAGCUCAUGGAGUACAGCUACUCACCUCAUGGUGGUCAGGGAGAGCUGGAAAAUAAGGGGCCCAUACAGUAUAUCCCCUUCCUAUAUAUGCUCAGAGUCAUACCUACAAGUAGGUAGUACCUCCCCAAAUUUCCAUCAUCUCAAAUAUUUACUUAAUCAUAAACUCAUCAAUGAACUAAUUCAAUGAUUAAUGAACCCAUGACCCAGUCACUUCUCAAAGGCCCCGCCUCUAAAUACUGCUAUGCUAGGGACCAAGACUUCAACACAUAAGCUUUUAAGGUACAAUCCACAUCUAAACCAUAACAGUGAGAGUAUGACCAACAAUCACCCAGAGAGCUUAGAAGAGUUCCUUGGAAAUCAAGGCAACUCCAUCAUCCCCUAGAUUUCCAGCCUCUCCCUUACAAAUGAUCAUAAACAGAACCUCGCUUACUGCUCCCCACUUCCUGCUGCUCUUCACCUCUUUUUAUCGGCACAAACUAACUGCACAACCUGCUCUUUCGUGGUUCUUUCCUUCAGGCAAUCAUUACGACAUAUCUCAGCUGCUGUUUCUCCUCGAGUCCCUGUGCCACUGAAGUUGGCACACUGUGACAGCCAUCAGCUGUGACUAGACCCGAUUCCAUAAUACUAGAAAAUACUCUGCAAGCUGCCAAAGGAGGGAAGCAAUCAGUGGUUUCAUACAGCCGGGAUGCCUAUGAACCACAACAAUGACCAGCAUGGCAAGAGAUCCCUAAAGGUACAAAAGUGGCACUCACCUAUUGGCUGUAACCAAAGCUGUCUAAUGAGACUUAAGGCUACUCAACAGGAGGGGAGUCAUGGAUGGUACUACCAGCCUCACCAGCCACCCAGGGCUACCAAGGCCAUGGAUUUUAGAAGAGAAUCUACUAUAACACUUGCUAGAUCAGCAUAAUCCUUUACUACUUUCUAAAUUGUUUCCUUAUACACAGAGGUAAGUGUGGCUCUUACCCCUCAUCAAAAAGGUCUCUCUUUGACCUUGGAACACUCAGUCCUAAAUGGAAGGUCUUCAUCAAACCCCUCACCUCAGAGCUCAGGGAAGAGGAGUAGGGGAGACUGGAAGAGCCAGAGGAUGGAGAGCACCCAGGAAACAGUGUCCUCCAGAUGCUACAGGACUGCAGCACACACAAACUCAUAGACAGGAUGGCAUCAUGGACAAAGCCUGCACAGGUCUAAGCCAAGUGGGGCCCAAGCAAUAAGCUGGGGAAGUGGACACACUCUCCUAUCCCUAACGAAGAAUCUGUCUUCAGUUGAUGCCUGCUUACAAAGGAAAAAUUAGUUUUCUCCAAUGGAGUCUCACUCGGUAUAUAAACCAACUUGAGGGUAGGGCCAUGACCAACAGUAGAUGGCCAACACAAAACAAAUUCAAUGGUAUUUUUGGAAACUUUAUCUCAUAACUUUGUCUGUUUUUUUUUUCCCUUACAGGCCUUUUGCUUGCAUAUUAUGGUUUCUGAUUUUGUGUUUUUAUGGGUUCUGUUUUGUAUCCACCCCUUUUGGUAUUAUUAAUUCAAAACUUUGGCUGUUGUUAGGUUUUUAGUGAUUUUACUAUGAUCUGCAUUUGUUUCCUUUAUGAUUAUUGUUAAUGUCAGUUUGCCAUCUGUGUGUCCUCUUAGCCAAAUGUCUCCUGUGCAUCAUGCUCAUUUCUCAUGAAAGUUUCACUUUUUGAUUGUU